AACAAAUCAUUUUGCAUAAAUAAAAGUUUUUCCUUUUAACGCAAACAUUGUAAAACUGUUGAACCAUCCAUUUAGAAUUACUCUUCUUUUUUUUGCCGGUGUCAGUUAUUGUGCGUGAUUUCUUGGUGACGGAUUGAGCCGACCUUUCGUCAACCGUAAAUAAAUUGGACUUCUGGAAUAAAGUUUGCCUGCUGACUCCGCCAAUUUCAACAACUAGGUUCUACCUCACGGUUCUACGAUCACCGAUCAUCGGAUUUAAAAAUGCUUCAUAAAAGAGUGCGUUUUAAUUGGAAACAGUAAAUAAAUACUUUUGCCGGUAAAAGAGAUAUCGCAUGUUUUUAGGGUUAGUUCCCCAAGGAAAAUUCCUUCCUGGGACAGCCCAGCUCCCUUCAUUUAUGCUGAAAAUUCGUCGACUGCCAUCACACGGAUUGACGCCAGAUAAACUGCAUGAUUUAAUGUACCUGACCAGCAAUAAUCCAUGCCACAAUGUCAAGAUGACGACGAUAUGCACCCUUGUGGGCGUUGCUGCACCAGUAGCUCGCCGGAUUUUAGCCAAAUCUCGCCAAAGAUUGUAGUGUGACAUCUCCGUGACCCAUUGUUAAAUAAAAGAAAUAUAAUGUUUAAGUAACAAA